rnacentral:rRNA from 1 species
AUGAAGCCGGAGCUUGCUCUGGUGGAUUAGUGGCGAACGGGUGAGUAACACGUGAGUAACCUGCCCUUGACUCUGGGAUAAGCGUUGGAAACGACGUCUAAUACCGGAUACGAGCUUCAGCCGCAUGGCUAGGAGCUGGAAAGAAUUUCGGUCAAGGAUGGACUCGCGGCCUAUCAGCUUGUUGGUGAGGUAAUGGCUCACCAAGGCGACGACGGGUAGCCGGCCUGAGAGGGUGACCGGCCACACUGGGACUGAGACACGGCCCAGACUCCUACGGGAGGCAGCAGUGGGGAAUAUUGCACAAUGGGCGCAAGCCUGAUGCAGCAACGCCGCGUGAGGGACGACGGCCUUCGGGUUGUAAACCUCUUUUAGCAGGGAAGAAGCGCAAGUGACGGUACCUGCAGAAAAAGCACCGGCUAACUACGUGCCAGCAGCCGCGGUAAUACGUAGGGUGCAAGCGUUGUCCGGAAUUAUUGGGCGUAAAGAGCUCGUAGGCGGUUUGUCGCGUCUGCUGUGAAAACGCGAGGCUCAACCUCGCGCCUGCAGUGGGUACGGGCAGACUAGAGUGCGGUAGGGGAGAUUGGAAUUCCUGGUGUAGCGGUGGAAUGCGCAGAUAUCAGGAGGAACACCGAUGGCGAAGGCAGAUCUCUGGGCCGUAACUGACGCUGAGGAGCGAAAGCGUGGGGAGCGAACAGGAUUAGAUACCCUGGUAGUCCACGCCGUAAACGUUGGGAAC